rnacentral:rRNA from 1 species
AGUGAACGCUGGCGGUAGGCCUAACACAUGCAAGUCGAACGGCAGCACAGUAAGAGCUUGCUCUUACGGGUGGCGAGUGGCGGACGGGUGAGGAAUACAUCGGAAUCUACUUUUUCGUGGGGGAUAACGUAGGGAAACUUACGCUAAUACCGCAUACGACCUACGGGUGAAAGCAGGGGAUCUUCGGACCUUGCGCGAUUGAAUGAGCCGAUGUCGGAUUAGCUAGUUGGCGGGGUAAAGGCCCACCAAGGCGGCGAUCCGUAGCUGGUCUGAGAGGAUGAUCAGCCACACUGGAACUGAGACACGGUCCAGACUCCUACGGGAGGCAGCAGUGGGGAAUAUUGGACAAUGGGCGCAAGCCUGAUCCAGCCAUACCGCGUGGGUGAAGAAGGCCUUAGGGUUGUAAAGCCCUUUUGUUGGGAAAGAAAAGCAGCAGGUUAAUACCCCGCUGUUCUGACGGUACCCAAAGAAUAAGCACCGGCUAACUUCGUG